CUUCACAUUCAUGCAUUCUCUAUAUUUUUGGGAGAAUACAAGUUUUCUUUAUCUAAAUGAUUACUUUAAGUACAAAAGAUGUCUUCCGGAACCAAAUGGAUAAUAAUAUUUUCUCCUUUUGGAUUGUAGGGAAGCAUUUCUAUGUCAAAGGCAAAUCUCCAUUGUCGUUGCAAGUGGAGUUUUUCUUGUUGCCAUAAGAAUUCUUGGUCAACGUUAUCUUCCUCAUUUCCCCACUAAAAAGCAUCCAGUCAACUCAUCUGACAUGAUCUCUAUUCAGCAUCAGUCAAUGGAAUCUUGCAAGCAAAAAGAUGAAAUUUUUCCACAAUCCAUUGCUAAUGGUCUUUGUUUAUUGAGAAAAAAAGAAGAAGGUUGUUUUAUCUUGGGAUGGUAAAAUUGUUGAAAUCCAGCCUACAAAUCGCAUUGCUGAAAAUCAAUGGGAAGCAAACCCUUUAGUGAAAGAGCUCUAUGGAAAGAAAAAAAUUUGUUCCUGGCUUGAUAGAACGAGGUCGCAAGAUGAUAACCCGCCCCAAUGAUGUUGUUAUACUGGAAUUAUUGAUGUCAUCAAAUCCCCAAAGUUCAUUUGCUUUGGUAAGACCAGUUACUGAAAUUAGUAUAUGAACAUUUUUGUGUCGCCACAUUCAAUAUUUGUACAAUGGUAAUGCAAAAGUGGCAUUGUUGAAAUGGUAAGUGUAUACCCUUCGUCAUACUUUGAGUACACAUAUGUCCCUAUCAUUAGUGUGAGGGGCAUAUACGCACCAUUUUAUUAACGGUAGGGGCAUAUGUGUACCCAAAGUAUGACGGAUAAUAUAUGCGUACCAUUUAUCAUGGUUCGAGGGAAUAUUUGUCCCUUUUCCGUUGUUGAAAUGUGAUAACUCUAAGGAUUAUAAGCAGAAUAUCUGAUGCUUAUCGACACUAGCCAUAUGUGGAUUAGAUAAUCAAUUAGUGACAACAUCAACAGUUA